UACGUAGGGUGCGAGCGUUGUCCGGAUUUAUUGGGCGUAAAGAGCUCGUAGGCGGUUUGUCGCGUCGGCCGUGAAAUCUCCACGCUUAACGUGGUGCGUGCGGUCGAUACGGGCAGACUUGAGUUCGGUAGGGGAGACUGGAAUUCCUGGUGUAGCGGUGAAAUGCGCAGAUAUCAGGAGGAACACCGGUGGCGAAGGCGGGUCUCUGGGCCGAUACUGACGCUGAGGAGCGAAAGCGUGGGGAGCGAACAGG
rnacentral:rRNA from 1 species